UUUGACAGAGGUGUUUUUUUAAACGAAUAUACUGUGAUUACUCAUUAACCAAGAAUAGAAUAGAAUAGCUGUGAUUACUACUAAAUCGCUGUCCAAUAUAGUAAAAUAUAGUUCGAAAUGGGUUUAGGGAAAAAGCAAAUGGAGCAGCUCUCAGGAUUUUCUCAGACGAUAGCAGCAUAUACCCUGGGUACAAUAAUAUCAACGAUAUACCUCACGGAAUGGAAGGCUGUUUGUCAAUAUAUCCCGUUCUUUAACAUGCAAGAGAAAUUCCAAGGUCCCAAAAAGAACGACGAGUAAAGAACAUACUCAAGAUACACAACAGUCAAUACAUGGCAGGUGUGCUCGGAUUUGUAAUAAAAUGUCAACCGGAUCGUGCGCAGCCGGCGGUGGCGCACGCGCAGCUGUCGGCCCUCCUCCGUGCCUCCACUGAGGUGUGCCCAUUGCCCUCCGAAUAAACAUUACCUCCUUUGUAGUGUAUUGUAAUUUUUUCAUUGUAUUUUACUAAUAAUAAUUCAUAGAUUACAAUAAAAAGUUAUUACAAA